UUUUUCUCUUUUUGCCAAUAUAUUAUUAUGCAAAAGUUUCAACAUAUAGGAAAAUGAAAAGAAUCAUACAGUGAACAUACAUAUGCCCACCACUAGGAUAUUACAAUUAACAUUUUGCUACAUUUGCUUCUUCACAUGAUUAUUCAUUUAUUCUUUCUCUACCUGUAGAGAACAGACCAGAAUACGCCUCUGCAGGCAGGCUGUUAACCAAAACAGUGAGAGAACUCAAGAGUCCCUGAGCCAAGCAUAUUGAGUUCAUUGUGUAAAACUCCUCUUAUGAUGAAAGAAAGAUUAAAUUUUUGCUAAAGGCAGCUUACAAAUAUAUUGAAUGUUGAUAUUUCAGAGCUUAGAGAAUGAUUAAAAACUUCUCUAAAGACAAAACAUAAAUCUAAUUGUGGUACAGUUGUAGAAUUCCUCCUUACUCAGCUCUAUUCAGUUCCCAUGCUAUUUCAAGAAAAUUUCUAUUAAAGAAAAAUACAGAUUACACAAAGCACUGUGGUAGUUAGAUUAGUGUUCCUUCAGAUACUCAGAUCUUGUUCACC
rnacentral:lncRNA from 1 species